UGGGGAAUAUUGCGCAAUGGGCGAAAGCCUGACGCAGCGACGCCGCGUGGAGGAUGAAGGUCUUAGGAUUGUAAACUCCUGUCAGGUGGGAAGAAAAGAUUUGUUUUUAAUAGAGAUGAAUUAUGACGGUACCAUCAGAGGAAGCACCGGCUAACUUCGUGCCAGCAGCCGCGGUAAUACGAAGGGUGCGAGCGUUAUUCGGAAUCACUGGGCGUAAAGGGUGCGUAGACGGUGUGUUAAGUUUGUCGUUAAAGACUCUAGCCUAACUGGAGGGUUGCGAUGAAAACUGGCGCACUAGAGGGUGAGAGAGAGAAGUGGAAUUCCUGGAGUAGCGGUAAAAUGCGUGGAUCUCAGGAGGAACACCAAUGGCGAAGGCAGCUUCUUGGCUCAUUCCUGACGU
rnacentral:rRNA from 1 species